AAUCAACGCUGGCGGCGUGCCCAACACAUGCAAGUCGAGCGCGAAAGCGGGCAACUCGCAAGUAGAGCGGCGAACGGGUGAGUAACGCGUGGGUGAUCUACCUCCGAGUGGGGAACAACAUCGGGAAACUGGUGCUAAUACCGCAUGACAUCCUCGGGUCAUACUGAGGAUCAAAGGCCGGGACCGCAAGGCCUGGCGCUUGGAGAGGACGCCCGCGUCCGAUUAGCUAGUUGGCGGGGUAACGGCCCACCAAGGCGACGAUCGGUAGCCGGCCUGAGAGGGCGGACGGCCACACGUGGGACUGAGACACGGCCCGAGACUCCUACGGGAGGCAGCAGGUGGGUAAUUUUUCGCAAGUGGCGCAA
rnacentral:rRNA from 1 species